rnacentral:rRNA from 1 species
UACGUAGGGUGCAAGCGUUGUCCGGAAUUAUUGGGCGUAAAGAGCUCGUAGGCGGCUUGUCACGUCGAUUGUGAAAGCCCGAGGCUUAACCUCGGGUCUGCAGUCGAUACGGGCUAGCUAGAGUGUGGUAGGGGAGAUCGGAAUUCCUGGUGUAGCGGUGAAAUGCGCAGAUAUCAGGAGGAACACCGGUGGCGAAGGCGGGUCUCUGGGCCGUAACUGACGCUGAGGAGCGAAAGCAUGGGGAGCGAACAGG